rnacentral:rRNA from 1 species
UACAGAGGGGGCAAGCGUUGUUCGGAAUUACUGGGCGUAAAGGGCGUGUAGGCGGUCAGGUAAGUGAGACGUGAAAUGCCCCGGCUUACCCGGGGACCUGCGUCUCAUACUGCUUGGCUUGAGUACGGGAGAGGGUGUGGGAAUUCCUGGUGUAGCGGUGAAAUGCGUAGAUAUCAGGAGGAACACCGGUGGCGAAGGCGCACACCUGGCCCGAUACUGACGCUGAGGCGCGAAAGCUAGGGGAGCAAACGGG